rnacentral:rRNA from 1 species
GACGAACGCUGGCGGCGCGCCUAACACAUGCAAGUCGAGGGAGAGCCGGCCUUCGGGCCGGGGAGACCGGCGAACGGGUGAGUAACACGUGAGGAACCUGCCCUGUAGACCGGAAUAACCACGGGAAACUGUGGCUAAUGCCGGAUGAUCUCGGAUGACCACAUGGAUGUUCGAGGAAAUGGUCUGCCGCUACAGGAUGGCCUCGCGGCCUAUCAGCUAGUUGGUGAGGUAACGGCUCACCAAGGCGA